GUGUGCCUUGGAGUCUCAGAGAGUUGACUCUGGCUCAGGAUGAACGCUGGCGGCGUGCUUAACACAUAGCAAGUCGAACGGGGUUAAGAAGGAAGCUUGCUCCAGUUUAACCUAGUGGCGGACGGGUGAGUAACGCGUGAGGGAACCUGCCCUUCAGUGGGGAACAACAACUAGAAAUGGUUGCUAAUACCGCAUAAUGUCGGAGAGCCGCAUGACUUUCCGACCAAAGGAUUUAUUCGCUGAAGGAUGGCCUCGCGUCCGAUUAGAUAGUUGGUGAGGUAACGGCCCACCAAGUCUACGAUCGGUAGCCGAACUGAGAGGUUGAUCGGCCACAUUGGGACUGAGACACGGCCCAGACUCCUACGGGAGGCAGCAGUGGGGAAUAUUGGGCAAUGGGCGAAAGCCCUGACCCAGCAACGCCGCGUGAAGGAUGACGGUCUUCGGAUUGUAAACUUCUUUAAUUGGGGAAGAACAAAAUGACCUACCCAAAGAAUAAGUCACGGCUAACUACGUGCCAGCCGCAGC
rnacentral:rRNA from 1 species